UACGAAGGGGGCUAGCGUUGCUCGGAUUGACUGGGCGUAAAGGGCGCGUAGGCGGUCUGUCCAGUCAGGCGUGAAAUUCCUGGGCUCAACCUGGGGGCUGCGUUUGAUACGUGCAGACUAGAGUGCGGAAGAGGGUCGUGGAAUUCCCAGUGUAGAGGUGAAAUUCGUAGAUAUUGGGAAGAACACCGGUGGCGAAGGCGGCGACCUGGUCCGAUACUGACGCUGAGGCGCGAAAGCGUGGGGAGCAAACAGG
rnacentral:rRNA from 1 species